rnacentral:rRNA from 1 species
UACGGAGGGUGCGAGCGUUGUCCGGAAUCACUGGGCGUAAAGGGCGCGUAGGCGGCCUGAUAAGUAGGGGGUGAAAUCCUGCGGCUUAACCGCAGGGCUGCCUUCUAAACUGUCAGGCUCGAGCACAGUAGAGGCAGGUGGAAUUCCCGGUGUAGCGGUGGAAUGCGUAGAGAUCGGGAAGAACAUCAGUGGCGAAGGCGGCCUGCUGGGCUGUUGCUGACGCUGAGGCGCGAAAGCGUGGGUAGCAAACGGG